UUGGUUUGAUUUCUUUUUAUCUUGGUCCAGUAGAAACAUUUCUUUGGGCCCAAGAUACACUUCAUGGGCUGCACACAUAGAUAAGUACCAACUUUAUAGAAUAGAACAAGGGGGACAGAGCACGAGAGAGAGGGAGUGAGUGAGGACAACACUUUGAGGGGAAGGGAGAAUUUUCGGGAAAGAGAGUUUGAGCGGGGCCAACACUUUGAGGGGGAGAGAGGAUUUUUGGGAAGAGAGAUUUUUCAUACAUAAAUUUCGGGAAAAGAGGGAGAUGGAAGGGGGUUUUAAUUAAAAAAGAAAAUAUCAUUUCUCUUGAAUCUCUUCUCUGAUUUUUUCUUCUUGAAUUCCAGAAAAAUCAUACAAAAAAAAAAGAUUUCUGUUUUUAAGUGAGUAGGAUCCGAAUUUCGAAAAGAUAUAUGAAAAUAUAUUCCAACUUUUCUUUUGGUUUCUAAUUUCAAAGAUGGGGUACCCAGGUCGCAGUUUGUGAGUUCGAGGCCCGGUCGUAAGGUUCAUGUUCGUGAUUCUGGUUAAAUUUUUAUGCUGAUUCUCUCUUAGAUUUUGUAAUCAAAGAUUUUUGUAUCCACGGAUUCUUCUACUCUGAUUAAGGAAAAGUUUGGCUUCAACAGUUUCAGAUUGUUUGGCAUCGAGUUGAGAAGUUAGAGAGGCGUUGGAGCGGGUUAUCAGAUUUCGGAACGAGGAGUGAUUCCGAGCUAUGUAGAUGUUGUGGCAUGAA